rnacentral:lncRNA from 1 species
ACUGGGAAGAAAAGUACCCACUUGGGGCUCACGAACUGCAGGAUUAGGAUUCAGAACUGAGGGCCCACUCUUCCUGAAAAGUCCUCCUCUCCCACCCCUCGAGGACAUCGAUGUGGCUCUCUUUGAUGCCCAAAGGCAGGACAAGCACUUGGUUCUGUUUUCAGACACGGAAGAGCUAAGAUGCCGACUCCUUGCUAACACGGUUCGAUCGGUCUGUCUUUGUGCUGGCAGAGGACUAGGAGGACAGACAGCCUGCUCGUGUCUGAUCGUGCCCUUGCGCGUAUCUGUUGGUCACCCGGCUGGAUGCCCGAGCCCGAUGGGCUUAGCUAGGCCAAAGCAACAGACUCUGGAGUUACUGUAUACUAUUGACCCUGCUCAUCUGUUCAAAAGCUACAACAGCUGACUCUACCAAGAACAGAGCAGUCCUCCUCUCCUGUAGAUAAACGAGAGACAUUUUAAUUGCUUUCUAGCAAUUAGCUUUUAUUUGCCUUAAUAUAAACUUUUAACCAGUUAUCUAUCUAGUGUCCACAACCCUUACUUAACCCUAGUUCCAGAUCUCCAGCUUAGACUGCCAUCUAACGUGUUUGGGAUGUUUCCAGCAAAAAUAGCCUUUUUCUUUCUUUUUUUUUUCUUUUUUUUUCUUUUAAAAACAAUCUCUUUCUAACAUGGCUUAUCUUAUAGGGGUGACUACCAGGCACACAUUUCACGUUGACUUUUAGUUUCUAAACUAACUAGAAAUUCAGUAAACGUCGGUCGGGAUUCACAGAGGGGCACGCGUGUUCCCGUGCAUGUGAAGUAACUGCCCAUCAGUCUACUCACUUUACUGAGUGCCGCCAAGGUGGCCAUGGUGUUGUAGGAUUUACACAAAGUCCUGACCCCAUCCAUCCCCAAGUCCACUCAUCAGCUAACGGAUCACCUUUGCAGAAAGUCAUCGUAAUGUUGCGUAUUUCAGAAAGAUAUUUUUUUUUCUAAAAAGGGAAGUAGUUUACACUCAGUUCUUUAAAGUUCUUUUUGUCUGUGUGUUUUUAAUUUUUUUUUCUUUUUGGCCAGUUCUAUAAUUAUUAUUAUCUUUCAUUUGUUACCUAGAUAAGUGUUUUAAUUCAAGCAAAGGUUCAUUAUGGAGCCAGAUAAACCACAUCCGCCGUGUGUUAAAUACUGCAUAUUUUCAGCUGGUUUUCUUUUUUUUCCCCAAUGGUGAUUUCCACGUAAUCUACCCUCCUUUGGUCUGGCGCUUGGCUUCCUAGCAGUUGGCAGAUUUAGACAGGUACACGUGCUCCAUUGCUUACACGGACCAUGUGAAGUCUCAAGUUACCGUGGAAACACUCUGCAUACAAGGCCUGGAUCAGUCCUCUGAUAGUUCAUUGGGUUAUUAACAUUUGAUUUCCCUCAGGAGAGAAGGGCAAGUUAUUUUAUUAAUAACAAAGCCAUCCUGGCCAUAUGGUUUAUAGAGCUGGAUCCAUGUGGAUCUCAGGUGACCCCCACCCCCAUUUUAGUAUGCAUUGAAAAGUAAUAAUAACGAUGUUUGGUUUGUUCGCUUCCAUUCGCCUUCUAUAAGAUGCCAUGUGGAGAAGUUGAGGCAGUUUAGAAUAAAAAGGUAAAGGCAUGAGAUUCUUCCUGGACUCUUAAAAAGGAGUUCAUGGUUGGCCUCUUGGGUUAGGCAUAGCCCACCCAAUGGGUGGGGGGUGCAGGGCUCUCUGCCAGUUCCAGCACCCAG